rnacentral:tmRNA from 1 species
GGGGGCGUCACGGUUUCGACGUGAUUAGUGAAUAUGGAACUGCGUGCCGAGGUCCCCGGGCCCUCGUUAAUCCUCUGGGAAAACUUGUAAUUGCCAACACAGAAAUGGCGAUGGCUGCGUAACUAAGCUUACGUGCUCGUUUCUUGAUUUCCCAGCUCGAGGGAAAUCUCUGAAGCGUCGAUAAAUCGAGCUGGUUUUCGGUUGGAGCUAUCACAACUGAAGAUGAGAUGUUCGGAUAGCUAGUCUGGGACCUGGUUGCCCGCUCACCUGCCCCGAUGAAAAAUUAGAGUGGCGCUACGCACGUAGAAGUUCUGUAGGAGUUAGUUGCGGACGCGGGUUCGACUCCCGCCGCCUCCAU